AUAUUUUAUAUCUCAACUUGACCGUAAAUGUCAUAAUUCACAGCAUCUUGCCGAAACCUUGCUCAUAUAUAUUUGAUAAGCAGAACUAUUCCCAUAUAAUAUCAAUUUCUUCUUCUUCUUCUUCUUCUUUAAUACUGAGACAGGUUCAAUGAAAACCGCAAAACCUCAUGCAGUUUUAGUUCCAUAUCCAUCACAAGGCCAUGUCACCCCUAUGAUGAGACUUGCAAAGCUUUUGCAUUCAAGAGGUUUUUAUAUCACUUUUGUGAACACAGAAUAUAAUCACAGACGUUUGAUCCGAUCAAAAGGCCCUGAUUCUGUGAAGGGGUUGCCUGAUUUCAAGUUUGAGACGAUACCAGAUGGAAUGCCUCCAUCAGAUGAAGAUGCAACCCAAGAUGUUCCACUCCUCUGUGACAAUACAAGGAAAACAUGUUUGUUGCCUUUCAAAGCCCUCUUGUCCAGGCUUAAUUCAUCACCUAACGCGCCUCGGGUUACAUGCGUUAUUUCAGAUGGAGUGAUGAGCUUUGCAAUUAGGGCUGCUGAAGAUAUGGGGAUUCCUGAGGUUCAGUUCUGGACUGCUUCUGCUUGCUCCUUUAUAGGAUACUUGCAUUACCGAGAACUCAUCAAAAGAGGCAUUUUCCCUUUAAAAAGUAAGUGAUGUCUUAUAUUAUGUUUGCCAUGUUGAACCACUUCGCCUGAAAAGUUUAAACUAUUAGUUAGAAAAUACUCUUAUGGUAAGUUGUGUAAGGUGGAUUUGACGGUACUUUAUCAAAACCUUUUGAGUAUAUCGUGCACUAUAAUGUAUAAAGCAUACUAGUGUAUAUUUGGCAUAUAGUAUUACAGUAUUACAUUGUUAGUAUAUGAAAUUUUUUAACUCUCUUUUCCUUAGUUCAUAUUGUUUAUAGUGUCCAAUCCACCUUACAAGACAUACAAUUAGGAUUUGAGGUUGUAGAAUAUUUUUAUGGAAAACCAAUCCAUGGACGAUUUUCAUAAAUCGUUGGCAAACGAGACUUGAAUCCAGACAUUUGCUGACUCUAAUAAUAUGCUAAACAUUUAAAGACAAUAUAACAUGAAUUAUAUGGAGUACAAAUUACAAUAUUUUCUUGUAUAUUAGUUGUCUUUUGAUUUGCCUGUAAUGGAGUUCUGUUGCCAUUUCAUUCCAGAUGAUGACUACCUGACUGAUGGCACUCUUGACACCCCAAUUGAUUGGAUGACCGGUCUGAACAAUAUUUGCCUUAAGGACGUUCCUAGUUUUAUCCGAACGACUGAUCCCAACGACAUCAUGUUCGAUUUCAUGGGAGAAGAAGCACAGAAUUGUCUGAAAGCUCCUGCCGUAAUUUU
rnacentral:lncRNA from 1 species